UAGCUCAGCUGGGAGAGCAUCUGCCUUACAAGCAGAGGGUCAGCGGUUCGAUCCCG
rnacentral:tRNA from 1 species